rnacentral:lncRNA from 1 species
AAAAAUUAAUUUUAAAAAAUAAAAAUCAUAUAUCUUAAAUAAAACCAUUAAAUUUAAUUAAUUACUUUUCAUAUUUAUUUUCAAGCACAAAUGUGUUUGUUAUCUCCUUGGAUAUUUUGGUACCACCAUAAUCAAAUCAAUAACCUCAUUGGAGUUCUUACAAUUGCUCCCAUUAGACUCUCCACACUAAUACCACACUUGCACU